rnacentral:rRNA from 1 species
CUGGCGGCGUGCCUAAUACAUGCAAGUCGAACGCACUCUCGUUCAGAUUGAAGGAGCUUGCUCCUGAUUGAUAAACAUUUGAGUGAGUGGCGGACGGGUGAGUAACACGUGGGUAACCUGCCCUAAAGUGGGGGAUAACAUUUGGAAACAGAUGCUAAUACCGCAUAAAACCUAACACCGCAUGGUGUAGGGUUGAAAGAUGGUUUCGGCUAUCACUUUAGGAUGGACCCGCGGUGCAUUAGUUAGUUGGUGAGGUAAAGGCUCACCAAGACCGUGAUGCAUAGCCGACCUGAGAGGGUAAUCGGCCACACUGGGACUGAGACACGGCCCAGACUCCUACGGGAGGCAGCAGUAGGGAAUCUUCCACAAUGGACGAAAGUCUGAUGGAGCAACGCCGCGUGAGUGAAGAAGGUUUUCGGAUCGUAAAACUCUGUUGUUGGAGAAGAAUGUAUCUGAUAGUAACUGAUCAGGUAGUGACGGUAUCCAACCAGAAAGCCACGGCUAACUACGUG